UACGUAGGGUGCGAGCGUUAAUCGGAAUUACUGGGCGUAAAGCGCGCGCAGGUGGUUUCUUAAGUCUGAUGUGAAAGCCCACGGCUCAACCGUGGAGGGUCAUUGGAAACUGGGGAACUUGAGUGCAGAAGAGGAAAGUGGAAUUCCAAGUGUAGCGGUGAAAUGCGUAGAGAUUUGGAGGAACACCAGUGGCGAAGGCGACUUUCUGGUCUGUAACUGACACUGAGGCGCGAAAGCGUGGGGAGCAAACAGG
rnacentral:rRNA from 1 species